ACUCAGCCAAGUUGGUGAUUGUUGUAUCAACCCUGGUGUUUCUGUUUGGCUCACUGCCUCAAGGCCAUGCACAGGUGCAACCACAACUUGUUACAGGACUUACAGGUCUACUUAACAUAACCCAGAUCCAAUUUACCACCGUGCAGCUGGCCUGCACCCCUACUGGAAACCCUCCAAGUACAGGCGGUGGAGUUGCAGGGGUUGCCGGAGCGCUUCUUAGCGGCACGUGCAACGGUGCUAGUGGCAGCCUUGGCAGGGUUUUCACAAAUGCCAGUGGAUUUGCUCAAGGUAUAUUAACUCUUGCAGAAGGUAUUGUCAUUGAUCCUAGUAGAGGAAUGCCGUGUUUUAUCAACACGCGCCUUCCUGUUACUGGAACCACUUGUACAGUCUUGCCUCCCACAGGACUCCUGGAAGCAGUUUUUCAGUUGGUUAGUGUGGUUACCAGUCCUCUUGGUGGUCUUCUUGCUGUUGCCACCACCGGACCGUGGGUGAUUAUGCCCUAGCCAACGAGGCAUACAAAAGCAAUCCAAUCCACCCACACCACUAAUAUCCAAUGGCAAAUUAUAUAUAUGUAUAAGUUGAUUCUCUGUGGAAAAUAAUUAUCUGCAUUUAUGUAUAUGCAUGCUUCUACUGCAUGCAUGUAAGUGUUUCGUGCUCUAAAAUGCAGCAUGCAAUAUUGUGUAAUGCUAUGUAAUUUCACUUUAUUCAUAAUAAAGAAGAAUCAAUUACUAAUAUCAUGCGAAAAGUUUAAGUAUAUUAUUGAAGCUUUGCAGGAUUCUGAUAAUAAUACAGCAAAAUAUACACGAGCCAAUAUAUAAAUAAAUUAUAUAAAAAUUAAAUCUCUAAAAGACAAUAUAAUUAAAUUUUAAAAAAUAUUUUAUUAAAUUUCAAUAUAUUAUCGUAUAUUUUUUCAUAUAAAAAUUUAUAUAAUGAUAUCGAAAAAAAAACUAUAUAAAUAUCUUUUCCAAGAAUUAAAUACAAACAAUUAUUUAUAUAAUGACAGACAAACAAACAUUCUCUUCUUAAUUAUAACGUAUUCUACUAUAAAUUAAAUACGAACCAUUAUAUAUAUAACUUUUUUUUAUCCUAACAUGUUGUAUAUCACUAUAAAUACGAACCAUUAUAUAUCCCUUAUUAAAUUUAACACCCUUGUUAAAUUUAACACUGUUUAUUCCAAGACAAAUAUAUUUUUCUUACAAAUGAAGAUAUAUGAAAUAUGAAAAAUAUGAUACAAAAUUAAUCGAAAAAUUAACACAUUAUCACACAUUAAUAUUAGAAAAACAUUUAGAGAUAGAUGAUAAAAAAUAGUUUACUGUUUAGAGAUUUAUAAUAUAAAAAUUAUAAUAAUAAGUUUUUAAGAGAAAAUAUAAAUAAUCAAUUAAUAUAAUUAAAUUAAGUUUUAAUUUAUUGAUAUUAAAAUAUUAAUAAAAUAAUGUAACAUUUUAAAUUAUACUCCCUCCGUCCCCUGAAUUGUUUACGUACACUGUUUGCACGCAUUUUGAGUCUCGUAUAAAGUAUAGUUUCAUAAUUUUUUUUUUAAAUUUUCUUUUUUUGAAUAAAAGUUUAAAUAUCAAACUUUUAUUUAGAGAAAAAAAAUUUAAAAAUACAUUAUGGAACUAUACUUUAAACAAGCCUUAAAAAACGUGCCAAAAAAGUAAUGUAGAGAAAUGAGGGGACAGAGAGAGUAUAUAAUAAAUUUUAAACUAAAUAGGUCAAUGUAUUAAGAUCACUACUUUUUCGCAUACAAGCUCCUUUAAAAUAUAGUCCCAUAAUAUUUUAAAUAUUUUUUUAAAUAAAAGUUUUAAUUUUAAAUUUUUAUUAAAAAAUAUAUGUGAAUUAGAAAAAUAUUAUAAAAUUAUAUUUUAAAAAAAUCUCCCGUGCAAAGAAAUCAACCUAACGAGUGAGAGACAAAUGUGAAGAAAAGUCUGUUUGUGUCAAUGACUGGGUUUUAAAUAAUAGGACGCAUACCGGAUCAGGAAAUGUGAAAGAUACAGCAUGGAGCACGGGAGGGACCCACUUAAUAACUUCUUUUGGACUAAAUAUUUUCACCAAAAAAAUUAUAUACCAUUAAUAAACUAUUCAAAAGGUAUACUCAAUAUGUAUAUAUAUACACGACAAAGAUAGAUGUAUGGCGGUAUGAGUACAAUGAGUCUGCCAUCUCUUCUUACGUGUUCUGAACAAAUCGAUUCAUAAAAAAAAAAUAUUUGCACCAUACGGAGCCUGAAUUUCAUACUUUGAGGAAUCUCUAUAUAUUAGGAGGGUUGCUCAUUGAGCUCCUCACACAUUUAAAUUACAAUGGCUUAUUAUAACUCAGCCAAAUUGGUGAUUGUUGUAUCAACCCUGGUGUUGCUGUUUGGGUCACUGCCACAAGGCCAUGCAGAGGUGCAACCACAAGCUAUUCCAGCUGGUCUACUUAACAUAGUUCAGUUCCAAUUCACCUCCUUUCUGGCCUGCACCCCCACCGGAAACCCUCCAAGCGGCGGUGGAGUUCCGGGGGUUGCCGGAGCGCUUCUUAGUGGCACGUGCAACGGUGCUAGUGGCAGCCUUGCCACGGCUUUCACAAAUGCAACUGGAUUUGCUCAGGGUAUAUUAACUCUUGCAGAAGGUAUUGUCAUUGAUCCUAGCAGAGGAAUGCCGUGUUUUCUCA
rnacentral:lncRNA from 1 species